UACGGGUGAGGCAAGCGUUGUUCGGAAUCAUUGGGCUUAAAGCGCGUGUAGGCGGCGGCGUAAGUACUUUGUGAAAUCCCUUCUCUCAAUGGAGGAAUUGCUUGGUAUACUGCGUUGCUUGAGGUAGGUAGGGGUGCUUGGAACUCUAGGUGGAGCGGUGAAAUGCGUAGAUAUCUAGAGGAACGCCAGUGGCGAAAGCGGCUCUCUGGGACGGUACUGACGCUGAGACGCGAAAGCGUGGGGAGCAAACAGG
rnacentral:rRNA from 1 species